CUGACAGCCAAAGAGGAACCAUUUCUACUUAGAGAUUGCCUCCUGUGGGAGUUUUCAGCAAGAUCUUAUCUUUGGAAAGGGGUAGAGCGUUGUGCUGAUUUCCUGGUCCCUGUUCUCUUAGGACUCUCCAUACAUCUGCUCAGAAAAUGUGUGGAUGUGGCACAGAGGGACAUGGAUUUGUUGCAGACUGGGAGACAUGCAUUCUGUUUGCAAGCUGACAAAGUCUGUUCUACAUUCUGCUCCCAGCUACGUGACCAGGUUGUCUCUGUGCUAGGAAAAGAAAGCCACAAAAAUCCGACUCAAGAGCAGCAUGUAGGCUCCGUGCUCAAAGAGUUGAUAAAAACUUUUGGAUGUUAGGCUUAACACCUUCUUCACCCCAGCGGUUUCAUGCCAGCGAUAUUUCAAAGUGAUUCAAGAGCUCUUUUUUCCAGUGAACAGUGCUUAAAAGAUAGCAGGCUGCAAUGAGGAUUGUAACAGUGCUGUAACUAUUCUCAGGAAACUAUCAUUUGGGAAAGUCCUGGGAGAUAUCUUGGAGCUGAUUUGUGUUGUUCCCCAGUAAGGAGCAGAAGACACCUGCCAUUUAGUUAAAUGCCUUAUCUUGGCCUAUUUGGGAACCUCGUUUCAGAUGAAAGUGUCUAUGCUAAUCAAACAAAAUACUAUCAAAAGUGGUCCAGAUGAGAGUGAUAGCUUUAAAAAAAGCACUUUAAAAUGCUUGCGAUUUAUAGUUUUGUGUUAAAUCAGCUUAGCAUUCAUGAAAUAAAAGUGUUGACUACUUGCUGACAUUUUGUGUUUUUCUGAAGAUGAAGCUCAAAUACGAGGGCAGUAUGGGCCC
ensembl:lncRNA